GGAUGGAUCAUUACCAAAGAUUUUUACAAGUCUUGUGAACUGUUUUGAACUACACUGUUGGGGUGACAUAAUUACGUUCACCUCAACGGUAAUACACGUAUAUACCCCUAAACUGACGUCUACUUUAGUAGUAAAUCAAACUAAAGACAACUUUUAGCAACGGAUCUCUUGGCUCUCGCAACGAUGAAGAACGCAGCGAAAUGCGAUAAGUAAUGUGAAUUGCAUGCACCGUGAAUCAUCAAAUCUUUGAACGCACAUUGCACUGCCUGGAAUUCCGGGCAGUAUACCUGUUUGAGUAUCAGUAACACUCUGCAUUGGGUCGUCCUUGAAAAGACGCUCGUGUAGGAUUUGAGCUACCGUUCUCGCGAGAGAGCGCUGCUUUAAAUUUAUUUGAGGUUCCCGAGCUGUUGUAGCUUGGCGCGACUGACAGAGUUAAUAGGUUUUCGGACCUUGAUCCUGGUGGAAGCGUCAGUUGGCAGGCACGGAAGAAACUCAUUAAACUUGAACCGUACGGGGGGCAAUACCAGAUGUUAAAGUCAGGUAAAGUCGGCCCGUGAACAUGAUCUCAAAUCAGGUAAGAUUACCCGCUGAACUUAAGCAUAUUAAUAAGCGGAGGAAAAGAAACUAACAAGGAUUCCCCUAGUAAUGGCGAAUGAAGCGGGAACAGCUCAAAUUUAAAAUCUCCUCGGAGAAUUGUAGUUUAAAGAAGUGCUUUCGCUGGUAGUCCGGGUACAAGUCCCUUGGAAUAGGGUAUCAUAGAGGGUGAGAAUCCCGUCUUUGAUCCGGAUACUACCGCAAUGUGAUGCACUCUCAAAGAGUCGGGUUGUUUGGGAAUGCAGCCCUAAGUAGGUGGUAUAUUUCAUCUAAAGCUAAAUACAGGCGAGAGACCGAUAGCGAACAAGUACCGUGAGGGAAAGAUGAAAAGAACUUUGAAAAGAGAGUUAAACAGUACGUGAAAUUGCUAAAAGGGAAACGCUUGAAAUCAGUGUUGGCGUGUGGAAAUCAGCUGCUUAGCGAUAGGCGGUGCACUUUCCAUACGCCAGGUCAACAUCAGUUUUGGUUUGGGUAAACUAGCGCGGGAAGGUGACUCCUCUCGGGGAGUGUUAUAGCCCGCGUGACUGCCUGGACUGGGACUGAGGACUGCAGCGCAUGCCAUUUGGCUGGCGAACCGUGUACUACUUGUAUGCGCCAGGUAGACAGCUUGCUGACUGCCGGGUGAACGCAGGUACUUGCGCGGCUAGCACAUAUGCGCUAAGGAUGUUGACGAAAUGGUUUUAAGCGACCCGUCUUGAAACACGGACCAAGGAGUCUAACACAUAUGCGAGUAUUUGGGUGUCAAGCCCAUAUGCGUAAUGAAAGUAAAGUAGGUGGGAUCCCGCAAGGGUGCACCAUCGACCGGUCUUGACCUUUUGAGAUAGAUCUGAGUAAGAGCACAUGUGUUAGGACCCGAGAGAAGGUGAACUAUGCCUGAAUAGGGCGAAGCCAGAGGAAACUCUGGUGGAGGCUCGUAGCGGUACUGACGUGCAAAUCGUUCGUCAAAUUUGGGUAUAGGGGCGAAAGACUAAUCGAACCUUCUAUUAGCUGGUUCCCUC
rnacentral:misc_RNA from 1 species